GAGUUUGAUCCUGGCUCAGGACAAACGCUGGCGGCGUGCGUAACACAUGCAAGUCGAACGCACAGACGUAAGUCUGUGAGUGGCGGACGGGUGAGGAACACGUGGAUGACCUGUCCCGACGUGGGGGAUACCUUGCAGAAAUGGAGGUUAAUCCCGCAUAUGAGCGUGUCGGUAGACCGAGACGCUGAAAGUCUUUCGAGACGCGUUGGGAGGGGUCCGCGGCCGAUUAGCUGGUUGGUGGGGUAAGAGCCUACCAAGGCGACGAUCGGUAGCUGGUCUGAGAGGAUGAUCAGCCACACUGGGAUUGAGAACGGCCCAGACUCCUACGGGGGGCAGCAGUGGGGAAUCUUGCGCAAUGGGCGAAAGCCUGACGCAGCGACGCCGCGUGAGUGAUGAAGGCCUUCGGGUUGUAAAGCUCUGUGGGGCGAGACGAAUAAGUGCAGCCUAAUACGCUGCAUGAUGACGGUAUCGCCUUAGCAAGCACCGGCUAACUCUGUGCCAGCAGCCGCGGUAAUGCCCA
rnacentral:rRNA from 1 species